CAAUAAAUGAACAUGUUUGUGUUUGGAGAUUGCUGAGGUUAAUAUCUUCACAAUUGGGAAAUCCCAACAUAAGUUGACUGCCAGUUUGACCACUGAUCUGCAUAAUAUCAGUGGGAGAGCAUGCUGAAUCCCGCAGCUUCUGCACCAUAUGUUUCCUGGCCGAAUGGUUGAAAGUUGCGACCACACAUUCCAUGGGUGAUGAUAUCUACCAAAAUUCUUGGCGGCACAGUUCUACCCUCGUCAGUUGCACUUGUCCGAGUCUUUCUCUGCCUCUUAACCAACUCGAGAUAUUCCCCCCCCCCCCCAACUGCAUCCCGGCACAGCUUCACAUCAACCCAUCUAAUUAAUUUGUCGGAAAGGUUGACCACACAAAUUUCCUGUUUGGUUGUGGAGAUAGAAUCAUUUUUUUGUGAAAGUUUGAUUUCAGACACUUAAAAAUUGAAAUUGUCAUGUAUUAUUAGGCAUGGCAGGCAUUAGCAAAGCAUCUCAAUCAAG